rnacentral:rRNA from 1 species
UACGAAGGGGGCUAGCGUUGUUCGGAAUUACUGGGCGUAAAGCGCGCGCAGGCGGCUAUCCAAGUCAGUGGUGAAAGCCCGGAGCUCAACUCCGGAACUGCCAUUGAAACUGUGAGACUUGAGGAUGAGAGAGGUGAGUGGAAUUCCCAGUGUAGAGGUGAAAUUCGUAGAUAUUGGGAAGAACACCGGUGGCGAAGGCGGCCUGCUGGGCAGUAGCUGACGCUGAGGCGCGACAGCGUGGGGAGCAAACAGG